AUUGAACGCUGGCGGCAGGCCUAACACAUGCAAGUCGAGCGGAUGAAGGGAGCUUGCUCCUGGAUUCAGCGGCGGACGGGUGAGUAAUGCCUAGGAAUCUGCCUGGUAGUGGGGGAUAACGUCCGGAAACGGGCGCUAAUACCGCAUACGUCCUGAGGGAGAAAGUGGGGGAUCUUCGGACCUCACGCUAUCAGAUGAGCCUAGGUCGGAUUAGCUAGUUGGUGGGGUAAAGGCCUACCAAGGCGACGAUCCGUAACUGGUCUGAGAGGAUGAUCAGUCACACUGGAGCUGAGACACGGUCCAGACUCCUACGGGAGGCAGCAGUGGGGAAUAUUGGACAAUGGGCGAAAGCCUGAUCCAACCAUGCCGCGUGUGUGAAGAAGGUCUUCGGAUUGUAAAGAACUUUAAGUUGGGAGGAAGGGCAGUAAGUUAAUACCUUGCUGUUUUGACGUUACCAACAGAAUAAGCACCGGCUAACUUCGUG
rnacentral:rRNA from 1 species